AAAAGAAUAUACACGCUCUAGAAAUAUGUUGAAGAAGAAUGCUUGCAUAUCCUGGACACAGUCUCACUCUCACUCCUCCAAGAACUGGGGAUCAAACAGCAUCUUUCUUCCAGCAUCCAAUGUCUUCUUACACACACUUUCUUUGGACGUACCAGAGAAAGAGACGAUAAGUCCAUAGAGCGACAUAAACUCAAUACCUACGAUAUUUAAUACCAUACCAUGUUUUAGAUUUCUGCGACAUCUUGCAUGUUGUUGUAUCCAAUGUGUUGGGAUCUGUGUUCCAGGGCUUAUGUGUGUGGUUUAGUUAAGUUUGCUGGUUAUUAAAGCAAAAAGGAAUCGAAUUUCAUUUUUAAAAUUAUGAUUAUGGCGAACGAACUCUUUCGUCAUCGCUCAUAGGAUAUUUGGAAUAUGCCCUAUAACUGCAGACUCCAAUAUUACAAAAAGCACCUGCAAUACAAUAGAAUAACAUAUUGGUGUGCUGAAGAAAAGAUGGCAAAGGCUUUUAGCUGAUAGGACAUUGUACUGAUGACCCUGUUAUCUGGUCAAAUCAUAAAUGUGUGUGUAUUAUCAAAAUAUUUGCAUAGAUUGUGAAAUGCUGAUGAUAUUUGAUUUGGUCUUUGAUAUUUGAAAAUAAAAGAAUACUUACUUCGCUGA